rnacentral:rRNA from 1 species
UACGGAGGGGUUGAGCGUUGUUCGGAAUGACUGGGCGUAAAGCGCGCGUAGGCGGGCUGGAAAGUCAGGGGUGAAAUCCCGGGGCUCAACCCUGGAAUGGCCUUUGAAACUCCCAGCCUUGAGUUCGAGAGAGGUGAGUGGAAUUCCGAGUGUAGAGGUGAAAUUCGUAGAUAUUCGGAGGAACACCAGUGGCGAAGGCGGCUCACUGGCUCGACACUGACGCUGAGGUGCGAAAGCGUGGGGAGCAAACAGG